GUUCUACCUGGUAUAAUGUGAGGUGGGAGCACUAAUAUGAGGGUCUACCUGGUUUAAUGUGAGGUGGGAGAGCUGACAUGAUGGUCUAUCUGGUAUAACGUGAGGUGGGAGCGCUGACAAGAGGGUCUACCUGGUAUAACGUGAGGUGGGAGCGCUGACAAGAGGGUCUACCUGGUAUAAGGUGAGGUGGGAGCGCUGACAUGAGGUUCUAGCUGGUAUAAUGUGAGGUGGGAGCGCUAAUAUGAGGUUCUACCUGGUAUAACGUGAGGUGGGAGCGCUGACAUGAGGUUCUACCUGGUGUGAGGUGGGAGCGCUGACAUGAGGUUCUACCUGGUAUAACGUGAGGUGGGAGCGCUGACAUGAGGUUCUACCUGGUAUAACGUGAGGUGGGAGCGCUGACAUGAGGUUCUACCUGGUAUAACGUGAGGUGGGAGCGCUGACAAGAGGGUCUACCUGGUAUAACGUGAGGUGGGAGCGCUGACAUGAGGUUCUAGCUGGUAUAAUGUGAGGUGGGAGCGCUAAUAUGAGGUUCUACCUGGUAUAACGUGAGGUGGGAGCGCUGACAUGAGGUUCUACCUGGUAUAACGUGAGGUGGGAGCGCUAAUAUGAGGUUCUACCUGGUAUAACGUGAGGUGGGAGCGCUGACAUGAGGUUCUACCUGGUAUAACGUGAGGUGGGAGCGCUAAUAUGAGGUUCUACCUGGUAUAACGUGAGGUGGGAGCGCUAAUAUGAGGUUCUACCUGGUAUAACGUGAGGUGGGAGCGCUGACAUGAGGUUCUACCUGGUAUAACGUGAGGUGGGAGCGCUAAUAUGAGGUUCUACCUGGUAUAACGUGAGGUGGGAGCGCUGACAUGAGGUUCUACCUGGUAUAACGUGAGGUGGGAGCGCUGACAAGAGGGUCUACCUGGUAUAACGUGAGGUGGGAGCGCUGACAUGAGGGUCUACCUGGUAUAACGUGAGGUGGGAGCGCUGACAUGAGGGUCUACCUGGUAUAACGUGAGGUGGGAGCGCUGACAUGAGGUUCUACCUGGUAUAACGUGAGGUGGAAGAGCUGACAUGAGGGUCUACCUGGUAUAACGUGAGGUGGGAGCGCUGACAUGAGGUUCUACCUGGUAUAACAUGAGGUGGAAGCGCAGACAUGAGGGUCUACCUGGUAUAACGUGAGGUGGGAGCGCUGACAUGAGGGUCUACCUGGUAUAACGUGAGGUGGGAGCGCUGACAUGAGGGUCUACCUGGUAUAAGGUGAGGUGGGAGCGCUGACAUGAGGGUCUACCUGGUAUAACGUGAGGUGGGAGCGCUGACAUGAGGGUCUACCUGGUAUAACGUGAGGUGGGAGCGCUGACAUGAGGGUCUACCUGGUAUAAUGUGAGGUGGAAGUGCUGACAUGUGGUUCUACCUGGUAUAACGUGAGGUGGGAGCGCUGACAUGAGGGUCUACCUAGUAUAAGGUGAGGUGGGAGCGCUGACAUGAGGUUCUACCUGGUAUAAGGUGAGGUGGGAGCGCUGACAUGAGGGUCUACCUGGUAUAACGUGAGGUGGGAUCGCUGACAUGAGGUUCUACCUAGUAUAACAUGAGGUGGAAGCGCUGACAUGAGGUUCUACCUAGUAUAACAUGAGGUGGAAGCAAUAACAUGGAGUUCUCCACACCGUACAUCACCUCAUACAUCCAGGUGCUGCGACCGCCACCUAUCAUCUCAUUCUUGCAUCCUUUGGUUUCUCUUCAUGUCUAAUAUGUAGAUGUUGCUGUUCAGUGAAUCUACUGACACUUGUUCACCUUGUUCCCUUCUCUCGCCUUCACCCCUUCCCUUUAAUAUUGUUUGUUAUUUGCAUUUUCUGCAGAACUUAAUGAUUUGUUCCUAAAGAUGAAAUAAAAAAUAAAAAC